AAUGCACCAAUUUGUAAGUCGCUCUGGAUAAGAGCGUCUGCUAAAUGUAAAUAA
rfam:Salmo salar isolate Sally breed double haploid chromosome ssa27, whole genome shotgun sequence.